GGGGAGGGGGGUGCAGCAGAUAGGGGUGGGUCGUCAGUUUUUGAGCUCUUGCAUUGGUAAAGGUGGGUCGUUCAAUUUUCAGCUACCCAUGGGGGUGGGUCAUGCUAUUUCAUAACAGGAAUUGGCACACAUUUGAGAAAUCGACAACGAAGGUAACUCCUUCCAGUUCCAAAUUAAGAACGAAAACUUUUCGAGCCGUGGCUGAAAAAGUACACUUGGCUGGUGUACAACAGAGAUGGUAAUAUGACUUAAAGUUACAAGAGCAAAGGAAAACAAUAUUAUUUUAGAUCAUUUGGUAUUAUUGUUAAGAGCUAAAUCUAAAACGUAAAUAAUUAUAAUACCACCACCUUUUGAAAUGCUCCGGCCCACUUCCCCCAUGUACUUUUUGAGAAGUCCGUAACCACGAUCUCUGAUGUUGUUUGCAGAUGUAACGGUUACACCUUUUUCGCCACUGCAUCACUCCACCCCCAAAAAGAAAGGGGCAUGCGAAGAGAAAAUAGAUCUGGAGGUAUCAGUCAACAGCAUAUUCCUGUGUUAGUUUAUUGAAGAAAUUAAUGGUUUUUUGGGCUCAUUACUAUACAAGACCAGUAAGUUUGACGGAGGAACUAAAUCCUGUUUUUUAGAUGACUCCAUCUACAGAGGAGAGGUACAGGCAGAUGACGCCUCUCAAAAGAGAAGCUUUUAAAUUGGUCAGUGCCAUUGUUAAUUACAAUUUACUAAAAAACAUAACUUCGAAAUGCCCAACAAAAAAAAAACGGACCAUCCAACUAGCUAAUGGAAUUCUUGAUGGAGGGCUGACUAACUGACCGACAACCGACCAGCCGAACGGUCGACCAACGGACUGUCUGACCGAUUGACAAACUAACUACUAACCUAACUGGUUGGGCUACCUGUGAAUUCAAACCAACUUUCUAUUUGCAUUCUCUUUCUUAAGGGUUAUUCUUCUGCCAUGAGGCUGAAACGCUCCAGGUGUACUAGAGAUAUCUUUUCAGGUGAGCUUUUGAUUUUUACUGGCCAAUGUGUUACUCCAUUGUGAUUACAUUUUACAGGAUUUAAAUGACUUCAUAUAUACUUUUCCACCAAACGACAGAUUCAGACUUGACUGUAGACGAAACAAGUGAUGAAGGUAAUUCCGUUAUCUAGAGUUUUUAUUUAACGUUUUACAAGUUGUUUUGUCUGCUGGAGACCUGUUUAGUUAAUUAUUUCGGAAGCAAAACAUGUAUUUGGAAAAUUCUUUUAAGGCUCGUUUGUUCGUCUUUUCCUCCUGUAUCACAGAGUCCGAGGUGUCAACUGAGCGAAGCGACGAACCAGGAGAAGAUAAUGGUAAUAACUUCAGUUAGAAAACUGCUCAUAAUGUAUGCAAUUUACCAGAGUUAUGGUUAACUUGAUAUCCACAUUGUUCUGAAGUUAACUGGGUUUGCACACUUUGGUCAGUAAAGGCGCGUGAUGUGUUUUAUUAUGGGAAAUGUUAAGGUUCGUUUGUUUCCGUUUUCCUCAUGUACCACAGAGGCUGCAAUGUCAGCUGAUGAACAGAGCGAGGAACCAGGAGAAAAUGAUGGUAAUAAUGUUAGUUAGAAAAUUACUCGCAGUGCAUGCAAUUCAGUAGCAGAUGGGGAUACAGUUACCGGUAUCUUUAUAAACACUUUUUUAAAGCGUAGUUUGGUCUAAAAUUGCUUAUGAAUUCUAUCAUGGAAAAUUGCACGCGUUUUUUUAAGUAACUGUUUUGUUUUAUAAACUUUAAUGGAACUUCUGAAUGACAAGCUUUUAUCGUUUUAUGUCAGGUACUGGACGUUUUUCUUUUGUAGCUGGGGCUAUUGGCGUCACAAAGAGAAUCCAUAAAGGAAGUGGCAGUAGUGAUGUUUGUCUAUUGUGCCGAGAAAGCUCACCUCCAGGAAACAAAAAGGGAGCAAUCGACUGGGUUGAGUGUACCGACUGCCUUCAGUGGUACCACUUGUAGUCGAUGUGCAGGCUUGAAGUCCGAGCCACCUAGUGACUGGUGUUGCAGCGACUGCUUGCUGGAGAAAAUGGCAUAGUCAAGAUGUGCUGAUAUCAAAUAAAAAUAAAAGAGUGAACAGGGUUAAUUUUGUCUUCUUCCUGUCUUACGUAUAACUGCUAAGUCACCCCCUUCCCACAAAAGUGCGCAACAAAGGCCACAUGGGCAACAACGACAACAUAGGUAACAUGGGCCACAAGGGCAAC